rnacentral:rRNA from 1 species
UAAAUGAUUUUUGGAUUCGGAGCGAGUGGCGAACUGGUGAGUAACACGUGGGUAACCUGCCCCGAAGCGGGGGAUAACAUUUGGAAACAAGUGCUAAUACCGCAUAAUUAGUUGGAACCGCAUGGUUCCAACUUGAAAGAUGGCUCUGCUAUCACUUUGGGAUGGACCCGCGCCGUAUUAGUUAGUUGGUGAGAUAAAAGCCCACCAAGACGAUGAUACGUAGCCGACCUGAGAGGGUAAUCGGCCACAUUGGGACUGAGACACGGCCCAGACUCCUACGGGAGGCAGCAGUAGGGAAUCUUCCACAAUGGACGAAAGUCUGAUGGAGCAACGCCGCGUGAGUGAUGAAGGUUUUCGGAUCGUAAAACUCUGUUGUUAAAGAAGAACAAGUGUUAGAGUAACUGUUAACACUUUGACGGUAUUUAACCAGAAAGCCACGGCUAACUACGUGCCAGCAGCCGCGGUAAUACGUAGGUGGCAAGCGUUGUCCGGAUUUAUUGG